GUGGGGAAUAUUGGACAAUGGGCGAAAGCCUGAUCCAGCCAUGCCGCGUGUGUGAAGAAGGUCUUCGGAUUGUAAAGCACUUUAAGUUGGGAGGAAGGGCAGUAAGUUAAUACCUUGCUGUUUUGACGUUACCAACAGAAUAAGCACCGGCUAACUUCGUGCCAGCAGCCGCGGUAAUACGAAGGGUGCAAGCGUUAAUCGGAAUUACUGGGCGUAAAGCGCGCGUAGGUGGUUUUGUAAGUUGGAGGUGAAAUCCCCGGGCUCAACCUGGGAACUGCCUCCAAAACUGCAUGACUAGAGUACGGUAGAGGGUAGUGGAAUUUCCUGUGUAGCGGUGAAAUGCGUAGAUAUAGGAAGGAACACCAGUGGCGAAGGCGACUACCUGGACUGAUAUUGACGCUGAGGCACGAAAGCGUGGGGAUCAAACAGGAUUAGAUACCCGAGUAGUCC
rnacentral:rRNA from 1 species